rnacentral:rRNA from 1 species
GGAGGGUGCAAGCGUUGUUCGGAAUUACUGGGCGUAAAGAGCGUGUAGGCGGCCAACCAAGUCAGAUGUGAAAUCCCUGGGCUCAACCCAGGAACUGCAUCUGAAACUGGCUGGCUAGAGUACGGGAGAGGAAGGUGGAAUUCCUGGUGUAGAGGUGAAAUUCGUAGAUAUCGGGAAGAACACCGGUGGCGAAGGCGGCCUUCUGGCCCGAUACUGACGCUGAGACGCGAAAGCGUGGGGAGCAAACAGGGAUUAGAUACCCUGGUAGUCCACGCCGUAAACGUUGGGCACUAGGUGUGGGAGGUAUUACUCCUUCGUGCCGAAGCUAACGCAUUAAGUGCCCCGCCUGGGGAGUACGGUCGCAAGGCUA